GGCUGCAUGGUGUAAUGGUUAGCACUUCAGAUUCUGAACACCCCCUCUAUUCUGGUAACCCCGGUUCGAUUCCGGGUGCGGCCU